GAUGAACGCUGGCGGCGUGCCUAAUACAUGCAAGUCGAGCGAACAGACGAGGAGCUUGCUCCUCUGACGUUAGCGGCGGAAGGGUGAGUAACACGUGGAUAACCUACCUAUAAGACUGGGAUAACUUCGGGAAACCGGAGCUAAUACCGGAUAAUAUAUUGAACCGCAUGGUUCAAUAGUGAAAGACGGUUUUGCUGUCACUUAUAGAUUGAUCCGCGCCGCAUUAGCUAGUUGGUGAGGUAACGGCUUACCAAGGCAACGAUGCGUAGCCUACCUGAGAGGGUGAGCGGCCAACCUGGAACUGAGACACGGUCCAGACUCCUACGGGAGGCAGCAGUAGGGAAUCUUCCGCAAUGGGCGAAAGCCUGACGGAGCAACGCCGCGUGAGUGAUGAAGGUCUUCGGAUCGUAAAACUCUGUUAUUAGGGAAGAACAAAUGUGUAAGUAACUAUGCACGUCUUGACGGUACCUAAUCAGAAAGCCACGGCUAACUACGUG
rnacentral:rRNA from 1 species